AUUGAACGCUGGCGGCAUGCUUUACACAUGCAAGUCGAACGGUAACAGGCCUUCGGGUGCUGACGAGUGGCGAACGGGUGAGUAAUGCAUCGGAACGUGCCCAGAGGUGGGGGAUAACGCAGCGAAAGCUGUGCUAAUACCGCAUGUGAUCUGAGGAUGAAAGCGGGGGACCAGGCAGCAAUGUUUGGUCUCGCGCCUUUGGAGCGGCCGAUGUCAGAUUAGGUAGUUGGUGGGGUAAAGGCCUACCAAGCCGACGAUCUGUAGCUGGUCUGAGAGGACGACCAGCCACACUGGGACUGAGACACGGCCCAGACUCCUACGGGAGGCAGCAGUGGGGAAUUUUGGACAAUGGGCGCAAGCCUGAUCCAGCAAUGCCGCGUGCGGGAAGAAGGCCUUCGGGUUGUAAACCGCUUUUGUACGGAACGAAAAGGCUCUGGCUAAUACCUGGGGCUGAUGACGGUACCGUAAGAAUAAGCACCGGCUAACUACGUG
rnacentral:rRNA from 1 species